rnacentral:snoRNA from 1 species
ACGACUGUACUUGAACAGGAUCUGUUCUCUAGGUCGUACUUCAGUCCAUGCCGAGAGGUAUAGACAAACCGAUAACCCCGGACGAUGAGUUUGAGCCCCCCGGCUUGAGCGCGACCGUACGGGCCACUGGCGCAGUCACUGCGGCAGUGCUCCAUAGAUGACCGUUCACGCCGAGCUUGCUCGGGGUGGAGGCCGGGCGGGCAGUCUGACGGGUC